rnacentral:rRNA from 1 species
AACGAACGCUGGCGGCAGGCCUAAUACAUGCAAGUCGAACGCUCGUAGCAAUACGAGAGUGGCAGACGGGUGAGUAACACGUGGGAACCUUCCCUAUGGUUCGGAAUAGCUCAGGGAAACUUGAGGUAAUACCGGAUAAGCCCUUACGGGGAAAGAUUUAUCGCCAUUGGAUGGGCCCGCGUCGGAUUAGCUAGUUGGUGGGGUAACGGCCGUACCAAGGCGACGAUCCGUAGCUGGUCUGAGAGGAUGAUCAGCCACACUGGGACUGAGACACGGCCCAGACUCCUACGGGAGGCAGCAGUAGGGAAUAUUGGACAAUGGGCGCAAGCCUGAUCCAGCCAUGCCGCGUGAGUGACGAAGGCCUUCGGUUG